AAACACUUUGAGAUGCCAAUCCCAACACUUUGAGAGGCCAAGGCAGGAGGAUUGCUUGAGGCUAGGAGCUUGAAACCAGCCUGGGCAACACAGUGAGACCCCAUCUCUACAAAAAAUAAAAAAACAGGCCAGGCGCAGUGGCACUUAGGGAGGCCAAGUUCUGGGAUACAUGUGCAGAACGUGCAGGUUUGUUGCACAGUAUACGUGUGCCAUGUUGGUUUGCCACACCCAUCAACCCGUCAUCUAUAUUAGGUGCUGUCAUUCAGAGUCCACAGGAUGGAUGAAUGGAUAUG
rnacentral:lncRNA from 1 species